rnacentral:lncRNA from 1 species
CAGUAUCAAAAAGCCAAGAGUUGAUAUGAGAACCUUGCUCAAGUGUUUUUGGUUUUUUUAUGUUUCUUGUGGUCGGCUUCGAAAAUUUUGCCCGCUGUGAAAGGGGAGUCUGGAUGAAGGAGAUUGUAAUCUGUGACUCUGAUUUCAAAGUCUUGUUUUUUUCCUACAAUCUUUUGUAGAACUUCCUUUAGUAAGAUAUCUCCAUUUUCCUAAGUAUAUUCAAGACAAAAUAGUGUUAGUAUUGGUAAAGGGAGUAAAAUGUUGUAGUAAAAGGUUUACCUAGUUGAAGGGAGAACAGGGGAAAAGAGAGUAGGAAAAGAGGACCUGAAGACUCAAAGUUAGCAGAGGCUCAAAUUUUAGGCCCAAAAGAAAUUCAGCCUGUUCUUCGAAUGCCGUUAUGUUUUUUGUGCUUGUUGAGUCUUCAAUUUCAAAAUUUAUUCUUAACCUGAAACAUGAAGAAAUUUGUAGAUGGAUAUUGUAUAUGUAUUGAAGUAUAAUAUUGACAUAGUUUCAAAGAGAAUAGUAGGUAUAUCUUGAAGAAGCAAGCCUAACAGGGAAGAUGCGAUGAAUAUAAUAGGAGGACGACAUGAACCUGAGAAUUGGGUCCUCAACUGCUUGUCUACAUCUGUAGCAAUAAUGUCGCACCUUUUCUGCCAAGCCCUUUUGUACACUUUUUGCAAGCAUUGUAACAAAAACCUUCACUGUGAUGCACUUUUGUGAUUGUUGCCAGACAAAGACUGUUGAAUGGCUGCAGGAAGAGUAUACACGAUAGUAAAUCAUAUGAAAUUGUUAGUAAUCAUACGAACUAUUUUAUAAGUAAUGGGUACAAAGGGUACCUUAGGUGCUUCUUUUGUGAGGGAGAUGAUUUCGCUGAUUUGUUUUGUGGUUUUCUGCAUAAACUUUAUUUUCAAAAGUGGAUUGCCGAUGCUGAAAUUGUCAAGGAAAAUAAGGUCAGACCAUUUGGAAUAAAAAAUUAUUGUGUAAUAAAAGAAUGGGUAAUAAGUUUGAUGAUGUGAACCUUUCUUUCAAACUGAUAGUUUCGGGUAUAUCCAUAUCUCUGUAGAUUAUGGAAGCGAAGGUUGCUUGAAGAUACAAA